rnacentral:rRNA from 1 species
AGUGAACGCUGGCGGUAGGCCUAACACAUGCAAGUCGAACGGCAGCACAGUAAGAGCUUGCUCUUACGGGUGGCGAGUGGCGGACGGGUGAGGAAUACAUCGGAAUCUACUUUUUCGUGGGGGAUAACGUAGGGAAACUUACGCUAAUACCGCAUACGACCUACGGGUGAAAGCAGGGGAUCUUCGGACCUUGCGCGAUUGAAUGAGCCGAUGUCGGAUUAGCUAGUUGGCGGGGUAAAGGCCCACCAAGGCGACGAUCCGUAGCUGGUCUGAGAGGAUGAUCAGCCACACUGGAACUGAGACACGGUCCAGACUCCUACGGGAGGCAGCAGUGGGGAAUAUUGGACAAUGGGCGCAAGCCUGAUCAGCCAUACCGCGUGGGUGAAGAAGGCCUUCGGGUUGUAAAGCCCUUUUGUUGGGAAAGAAAAGCAGCAGGUUAAUACCCCGCUGUUCUGACGGUACCCAAAGAAUAAGCACCGGCUAACUUCGUG